rnacentral:lncRNA from 1 species
ACCUUAACCUCUUAUUUUUAAGUUGGACUUAUUUAUAUAUAUAUAGAGAUAAACUAGAUUGUUACUUUUGUAAAAGUUUAAAACUAGAACGAUUCUUAGAGUUUGAUAAAACAAAUCAUUAGAGAGUUUUCAUGAGAUAAGUAAAUGUGUGCACCAACUCCAAUGAGAUAAGAAAAUAAGUUCAUCUUAUAUAAUUAUGGUGUUACCUCC